rnacentral:rRNA from 1 species
ANUCGAGCGGUAACAGGGACAGCUUGCUGUCUGCUGACGAGCGGCGCACGGGUGAGUAACACGUGGGUAAUCUGCCCUAAGGUUCGGGAUAACCAUUCGAAAGUUUGGCUAAUACCGAAUAAGACCACUUAGUGGGAAAAGAUGGGGAUCCUUCGGGACCUGUCNNNAUAGGAUGAGCCCGCGGCCCAUCAGGUAGUUGGUAGGGUAAAGGCCUACCAAGCCUAAGACGGGUAGCUGGUCUGAGAGGAUGAUCAGCCACACUGGAACUGAGACACGGUCCAGACUCCUACGGGAGGCAGCAGUGGGGAAUCUUGNNNAAUGGGCGAAAGCCUGACGCAGCAACGCCGUGUGAGCGAUGAAGGCCCUCGGGUCGUAAAGCUCUGUCGGAAGGAAAGAUGGAUAUUAGGGUUAAUACCCCUAGUUUUUGUUUNGUACCUUCAAAGGAAGCACCGGCUAACUCUGUGCCAGCAGCCGCGGUAAUACAGAGGGUGCAAGCGUUGUUCGGAAUCAUUGGNNGUAAAGCGCGCGUAGGCGGUUUCAUAAGUCUGAUGUGAAAGCCCGGGGCUCAACCUCGGAAGUGCAUCGGAAACUGUGUGACUAGAGUCCUGGAGGGGGUGGUGGAAUUCCUGGUGUAGAGGUGAAAUUCGUAGAUAUCAGGAGGAACACCGGUGGCGAAGGCGACCACCUGGACAGUGACUGACGCUGANGUGCGAAAGCGUNNNUAGCAAACAGGAUUAGAUACCCUGGUAGUCCACGCCGUAAACGAUGGAUACUANGCGCAGCGGGUAUUGACCCCUGCUGUGCCGCAGCUAACGCAUUAAGUAUCCCGCCUGGGAAGUACGGCCGCAAGGUUAAACUCAAAGGAAUUGACGGGGGCCCGCACAAGCGGUGG